GCACCCGUCUCUGGAGCUCGUUUAGGCGGCGCUCUGAAUCCCCUCUCCUCGCGCACCAGGAAACAAAGAGGUCCCAGUUGGAAACAUUGUUUAAAGUAGUGAGGUUUUAGGACAUGGAAGCAACCAAAAUGUCCUUUGACAGAGGAAUGGAUAAAGAAGAUGUGGUACAUAUAUACAAUGGAAUAUUACUCAGCCAUAAAAAGAAGUGAAAUAACGCCAUUUGCAGCAACACGGAUGGACCUAGAGAUUGGCAUACUGAGUGAAGAAUGUCUCUUGUUAAAUACCUGAUUGCUUGCACCAUAGAGAGAACAAAAUAAAGACACAACGGUUUCACUGGACUGAACCAUCCUCAGGACUGAGAGACUGAGUUGCUACCGAAUCAGCUUGUAAAAUGUGAAAAUUUCUGAAAGCCCAGUUUCAAAUGGGGGACUGAAGGAAACCUGAAUAUGUCAUCCCCAAAUAUGCCACUUUGAAAUAAGGAUUUGAGCUGUAAGCAAUUGAGAAGAAGUAGAUAGAUGUACCUACCAUAUGAUCCAGCAAUCGCACUCCUGGGCAUGUAUCCAGAGAAAGCCAUAAUUCAAAAAGAGGCAUGUACCACAAUGUUCAUUGCAGCUCUAUUUACAAUAGCCAGGACACGGAAGCAACCUAAGUGUCCAUCAACAGAUGAAUGGAUAAAGAAGAUGUGGCACAUAUAGACAAUGGAAUAUUACUCAGCCAUAAAAAGAAAUGAAAUUGAGUUAUUUGUAGUGAGGUGGAUGGACCUAGAGUCUGUCAUACAGAGUGAAGUAAGUCAGAAAAACAAAUACUGUUUGCUAACACAUAUAUAUGGAAUCUAAAAAAAAAAAGGUUCUGAAAAACCUAGGGGCAGGACAGGAAUAAAGAUGCAGACAUAGAGAAUGGACUUGAGGACACAGGGAGGGGGAAGGGUAAGCUGGGACGAAGUGAGAGAGUGGCAUGGACAUAUAUACACUACCAAAUGUAAAACAGAUACCUAGGGGAAGCAGCCGCAUAGCACAGGGAGAUCAGCUCGGUGCUUCG